rnacentral:rRNA from 1 species
UUAAAUUAAUAAGGGCGCAUGGUGAAUGCCUUGGCAAUAGAAGUCGAUGAAGGACGUGACUAACUACGAAAUGCAUCGGGGAGCUGUAAGUACGCUACGAUCCGGUGAUAUCCGAAUGGAGGAACCCACUUGUUUUAAUAGACAAGUAUCCAUAAGUGAAUACAUAGCUUAUGAGAAGGCAACUCAGGGAACUGAAACAUCUUAGUACCUGAAGGAAAAGAAAGAAAAAUCGAUUACCUUAGUAGUGGCGAGCGAAAAGGUAACAGCCCAAACCAGUCUACGGACUGGGGUUGUAGGACACCAUACACGGAGUUACAAAAUUACUGGAUAGUUGAACAGUCUGGAAAGUCUGAUCAAAGAAGGUGAUAAUCCUGUAAACGAAAUCUAGUAAUCUCUUUGGUGUAUCCUGAGUACGGCGGAACACGAGAAAUUCUGUCGGAAUCUGCGGGGACCAUCCCGUAAGGCUAAAUACUCUCUAUUGACCGAUAGUGAACAAGUACCGUGAGGGAAAGGUGAAAAGAACCCCGGGAGGGGAGUGAAAUAGAAUACUGAAACCAUGUGCUUACAAAAAGUUCGAGCCCGUUAAUGGGUGAGAGCGUGCCUUUUGCAGAAUGAGCCGGCGAGUUAUGGUAUAAUGCGAGGUUAAGUGGUAAACACGGAGCCGAAGCGAAAGCGAGUCUUAAUAGGGCGAUUAAGUAUUAUGCUGUAGACCCGAAACCGAGUGAUCUAGCCAUGAGCAGGUUGAAGUAAGAGUGAUAUCUUAUGGAGGACCGAACCAGGACACGUUGUAAAGUGUUUGGAUGACUUGUGGUUAGCGGUGAAAUUCCAAUCGAACUCGGAAAUAGCUGGUUCUCCCCGAAAUAGGUUUAGGCCUAGCCUCGUAUGUUUCCUCUUGGAGGUAGAGCACUGAAUAUGGAAUGGCGUCGUAUAGACGUACUGACUGUAAUCAAACUCCGAAUGCCAAGAGAUAUAAGUACGGGAGUCAGUGUAUGAGGUGAUAACGUCCAUACGCGAGAGAAAAUCAAUUCAGACCACCAGCUAAGGUCCCAAAAUUUGUGUUAAGUGGGAAAGGAUGUGGAGUCGCACGAACAGCUAGGAGGUUGGCUUAGAAGCAGCCAUCCUUUAAAGAGUGCGUAAUAGCUCACUAGUCGAGUGGCUCUGCGCCGAAAAUGUACCGGGGCUAAACACAAUACCGAAGCUGUGGAUUUAUACUUAUGUAUAAAUGGUAGGGGAGCGUUCUAAGGGCGCUGAAGGUAGAUCGUGAGGACUACUGGAGCGCUUAGAAGUGAGAAUGCCGGUGUGAGUAACGUAAGGUAGGUGAGAAUCCUACCCACCGAAUGACCAAGGUUUCCAGGGUAAAGUUCGUCUUCCCUGGGUUAGUCAGGACCUAAGGCGAGGCUGAAAAGCGUAGUCGAUGGACAACAGGUUUAUAUUCCUGUACUUCCUAUAUGACUGAUGGAGUGACGGAGAAGGAUAGCAAGAGCCUAUUAUUGGAUUUAGGUUUAAGUGCUUAGGUUAGUGAGUUGGAAAAUCCGCUACACUAUUAAAACUGAAACAUGAUGACGCCGAUUCCUACGGGGAUCUAAGUCUUGUGAAUCCAUGCUUCCAAGAAAAACUUCUAAAGAUAUUGUAUAGGAACCUGUACCGCAAACCACCACAGGUAGGUAGGAGAGAAUCCUAAGGUGAGCGAGAGAACUAUGGUUAAGGAACUCGGCAAAAUGACCCCGUAACUUCGGGAUAAGGGGAGGUCACUUCGGUGACCCGCAGAGAAUUGUCCCAGGCAACUGUUUACCAAAAACACAGGUCUCUGCUAAAGCGUAAGCUGAUGUAUAGGGGCUGACGCCUGCCCAGUGCUGGAAGGUUAAGAUGAUUUGUUAGUCGGACGAAAGUCGAUAACGGCGAAGCAUUGACUUGAAGCCCCAGUGAACGGCGGCCGUAACUAUAACGGUCCUAAGGUAGCGAAAUUCCUUGUCAGGUAAGUUCUGACCCGCACGAAAGGCGUAAUGAUCUGGGAGCUGUCUCAACCAUAGACUCGGUGAAAUCUUAAUACCUGUGAAAAUGCAGGUUACCCGCAGCAGGACGGAAAGACCCCAUGGAGCUUUACUGUAGGUUGAUAUUGGAAUCAGAUGUUAGUUGUAGAGGAUAGGUGGUAGACUAUGAUGUAUAGACGCUAGUUUAUACGGAGUCGCCCUUGGAAUACCACCCUUCUGAUAUUUGAUUUCUAACUCGCACCCAUUAUCUGGGUGGAGGACAGUGUCUGCUGGGCAGUUUGACUGGGGCGGUCGCCUCCUAAAAAGUAACGGAGGCGCCCAAAGGUUCCCUCAGAAUGGUUGGAAAUCAUUCAAAGAGUGUAAUGGUAUAAGGGAGCUUGACUGUGAGACUUACAAGUCGAGCAGGUACGAAAGUAGGGCAUAGUGAUCAGGCGGUAGAGUAUGGAAUUGCCGUCGCUUAACGGAUAAAAGUUACCCUGGGGAUAACAGGCUGAUACCACCCAAUAGUUCACAUAGACGGUGGUGAUUGGCACCUCGAUGUCGGCUCGUCACAUCCUGGAGGUGGAUUCGCUUCCAAGGGUUAGGCUGUUCGCCUAUUAAAGUGGCACGCGAGCUGGGUUCAGAACGUCGUGAGACAGUUCGGUCCCUAUCCGCUGUGGGCGUAGGAAAAUUGAGGAGAGCUGUUCCUAGUACGAGAGGACCGGAAUGGACUGACCAAUGGUGUAUCUGUUGUAACGCCAGUUGCAGUGCAGAGUAGCUAUGUCGGGAAGGGAUAACCGCUGAAAGCAUCUAAGCGGGAAGCCCACUUCAAGAUGAGUUUUCCCAUAUGUAUAUAGUAAGAACCGUUGUAGACUACAACGUUGAUAGGCUAGAGGUGGAAGCGUAGCGAUACGUUGAGCUGACUAGUACUAAUAGUUCGAGGAUUUAAUCAU